rnacentral:rRNA from 1 species
GGUGGAGUGAUUUGUCUGGUUAAUUCCGAUAACGAACGAGACUCUAUCUUGCUAACUAGUCACAGGAUUAUUCUGACUGUGGAGCUUCUUAGAAGGACAGGGGGUUACAACCCCACGAGAUUGAGCAAUAACAGGUCUGUGAUGCCCUUAGAUGUCCAAGGCUGCACGCGUGCUACACUGAAUGCGUCAGCAUGUGAACCUAACUCGGAGGAGUCUGGGGAACCCUUUGAAACGUAUUCGUGCUUGGGAUUGGGACUUGUAAUUAUUCCCACGAACGAGGAAUCCUAGUAA